rnacentral:tRNA from 1 species
UCCGAUUUGGUGCAGAGGUUAGCAUGUCAGGUUUUCAUCCUGAGGACACGGGUUCGAAUCCCGUAGUCGGAA